UACAUCCCCAUUAAGGAAAAUCCUACUAGAAUUACAGCAUUAUCAGCAUUAUAAAGCAAGUUUUAAAUCUGGAGGAUGUAAAAUGCUUUAUUUUACUAAUAAAAAAACUGAAGGUCAAACAGGUGAACCAUCAUUCCCAAAUGCACACGUCAAAUGACAGACACACACACGACAGAGGCGGGAGUCGUGCAGGAAGCUGCUGACACACACACACACACAGAGGUGGGAGUCAUGCAGGAAGCUGCUCACACACACACACACACACACACAUGACAGAGGCGGGAGUCAUGCAGGAAGCUGCUCACACACACACACACGACAGAGGCGGGAGUCAUGCAGGAAGCUGCUCACACACACACACACACAUGACAGAGGCGGGAGUCAUGCAGGAAGCUGCUCACACACACACACACACAUGACAGAGGCGGGAGUCAUGCAGGAAGCUGCUCACACACACACACACACACACACAUGACAGAGGCGGGAGUCAUGCAGGAAGCUGCUCACACACACACACACACACACACGACAGAGGCGGGAGUCAUGCAGGAAGCUCCUCACACACACACACACGACAGAGGCGGGAGUCAAGCAUGAAGCUGCUCACACACACACACACACGACAGAGGCAGGAGUCAUGCAGGAAGCUGCUCACACACACACGCGCGCGACAGGCGGGAGUCAAGCAUGAAGCUGCUCACACACACACACACACACACACACGACAGCGGCGGGAGUCAUGCAGGAAGCUGCUCACACACACACACACACGACAGCGGCGGGAGUCAAGCAGGAAGCUGCUGACACACACACAUGACAGAGGCGGGAGUCAAGCAGGAAGCUGCGUGCCUUCAGCGCUCAUCUGCACUGUGACGUGCUGCCACUGAGAAUGCAGCUCACAUUGUGUUUGAACCUGCACGUUUUUAAAAACACUAGCAGUGAGUCCUGUUUUGGCCAACUGUGUCUUUGCAGUAAACUACAUCUUGAAGAUUACUAGAAAUGGAAAAGCAGAGUCUGCACCUUGCAUUUGGUGGCAGCUUUGUGAUUUAAUGUCAUGGCUAAUCUUGUAGGCGACACAGUUACAUUUAUUUACUAUUGGCGUGUCCCGACUCCUAGCCAAAUGUUCAGUCUGUCACCCUGGAAUGGCCAGGAAAAGGUGUGGUCACAGGCGUCAGCACUUUAGUGACUCUAGAGGGCAGCUUUCUGCAUCCGUGCUGCUUUCUAACUGCGGCUGACCUCCACUUUCUUCAUGUUUGCAUCAGUGGAACUGCAGAUAGUUUAUUUCUAGAGUUAUUAUGGGUAAAUAGUAAAAAUUACAACUUCCUAAAACAUAGACAUUUACAGAUACUUGUCUGAUUUGGACUUUGAUUUCCAGAGCAGAAUGAUUUAAUCUAAAUUUUUAAAGUUUUACUGAUUAUGAACACAUGGUAUCUUUGUUGAUCCUUUUUUUCUUUUUUGUUUUUUGCUUU